rnacentral:rRNA from 1 species
CGGACCUCAUAAGUGCGUCGUAGUCCGGAUUGGAGUCUGCAACUCGACUCCAUGAAGUCGGAAUCGCUAGUAAUCGUGGAUCAGAAUGCCACGGUGAAUACGUUCCCGGGCCUUGUACACACCGCCCGUCACACCAUGGGAGUGGGUUGCAAAAGAAGUAGGUAGCUUAACCUUCGGGAGGGCGCUUACCACUUUGUGAUUCAUGACUGGGGUGAAGUCGUAACAAGGUAACCGUAGGGGAACCUGCGGUUGGAUCACCUCCUUACCUUAAAGAA